UGAGCGGCUGUUACACAAGUUGGGCUAAAGUACUCCUCUGUCACUCACUACACCUCCCUAGAACAAACUGCCCUUUGAUGAUGAAUUGAGAGAAGUUGUAAUGGACAGAUACAGGGUAGACAGUU
ensembl:snoRNA